rnacentral:rRNA from 1 species
GGCUCAGGAUGAACGCGGGCGGUAUGCUUAACACAUGCAAGUCGAACGAUGUUUUAGGACAUAGUGGCGGACGGGUGAGUAACGCGUAAGAAUCUACCUUCAGGUUUGGGACAACCAUUGGAAACGGUGGCUAAUACCGAAUGUGCCGAAAGGUGAAAGGCUUGCUGCCUGAAGAAGAGCUUGCGUCUGAUUAGCUAGUUGGUGGGGUAAGAGCCUACCAAGGCGACGAUCAGUAGCUGGUCUGAGAGGAUGAUCAGCCACACUGGGACUGAGACACGGCCCAGACUCCUACGGGAGGCAGCAGUGGGGAAUUUUCCGCAAUGGGCGAAAGCCUGACGGAGCAAUACCGCGUGAGGGAGGAAGGCUCUUGGGUUGUAAACCUCUUUUCUCAGGGAAGAAGACAAUGACGGUACCUGAGGAAUAAGCAUCGGCUAACUCCGUGCCAGCAGCCGCGGUAAUACGGAGGAUGCAAGCGUUAUCCGGAAUGAUUGGGCGUAAAGGGUCCGCAGGUGGUAGUGUAAGUCUGCUGUUAAAGAGUCACGCUCAACGUGAUAAGAGCAGUGGAAACUACACAACUAGAGUACGGUAGGGGCAGAAGGAAUUCCUGGUGUAGCGGUGAAAUGCGUAGAUAUCAGGAAGAACACCGGUGGCGAAAGCGUUCUGCUAGACCUGUACUGACACUGAGGGACGAAAGCUAGGGGAGCGAAUGGGAUUAGAUACCCCAGUAGUCCUAGCCGUAAACGAUGGAUACUAGGUGUGGCUUGUAUCGACCCGAGCCGUACCGUAGCUAACGCGUUAAGUAUCCCGCCUGGGGAGUACGCACGCAAGUGUGAAACUCAAAG